UGCUAGGGGAGCGAAAGCUGAGAGAGUACAAGUUACUGACCCUUAUUACCUGAUCCGGACCAUACCGGCGUAGGGAAGCAGUCAA
rnacentral:ncRNA from 1 species